GCAGAACUGAGGGGAGGCAAGGCAGCGGGCCUGAAACUGAGAGCGAGGAAUACCCAGGUCAAAUCCAUAGAGCAGUGCGAGUUGAGAGUGACCUGCCAGGAGAAGAGGGCAGUGUGAGUUGGGGAUGACCUGCCAGGUGAAGAGUUCUAAAUCCAGGAAAAAGGAAGCUACGGCUCUGCCGGCUGAGAUCCUCGCUGUUCUGGAACAACAUCGAGAAGAUAUUUUAAAGGAAUUUAGAACUUCUUUCAACCAGCUGGAUGC